rnacentral:siRNA from 1 species
UCCGAGAUAUCAGGUCCGCUCC